rnacentral:tRNA from 1 species
AAGCAAGAAACUAAUUGUAUUAUGGUUUCGGCCCAUAACUAGGUGACCUCCUACACCCUUGCUUU